UAAGCAAAUAAUUGGAAUUAUAAGAAGAAUUCAAAGGAAACAAAUUAGAAUAAAUAAAAACCUCAAAGCGAAUUCUGAAUUACAGCAGGUUGAUUCAAAAUGGAUUAAUUCUCCAUAGUCAUCUUGCUAGCUCUCAAAAAAUCGCACCUGAAUAGAAAAACGUAACCCUGUUUUUGGUUGCCUAACCUAGGUAAAAACACCCAAACCCGUUUCACAACUCAACCCGGUCAAAUGUACGAUCCGGGCCCAAUACAACUAACCCAAACAAAAUAUAAAAAUAAUGCAGCAGCUUCAACGAAAUUUAUGGCCCUGCUACAGUCUGAUUCAGCUCUCGACUUCUGAAUAAAAAUUGUAGAUCUUUUUCUUAGCUUUCCAUCGACUGGUAGCACGUCUCAAUCCGAUACUCCUAGCUCAAGAUAUGAUUUUUCUCGCGAAAGGUGCUAAUGCUGAAAAUUAAAUACGAAAAUUAAAUAAGUGCAAAAAUAACAUAAAUUAUGAAAACACAUUAAAACAUAAAAAUAAUCAAAGCAAACCGAAGAAAUGCUUAAGUAAAAACAUGGUCUGAAAAUUAAAUACGAAAAUUAAAUAAGUGCAAAAAUAACAUAAAUUAUGAAAACACAUUAAAACAUAAAAAUAAUCAAAGCAAACCGAAGAAAUGCUUAAGUAAAAACAUGGAAGAACGUGCAUCCAAAAUGCACUGAUCAUUGGUGAACUCCUGUACUGACAUAUUGCCUUGCUUAAGUUCUAGGAAUUCUUGCUCAAUUGCCUUGCUUAAGUUCUAGGAAUUCUUGCUCAAUUUUCACUUUGAGUGUUUUUGAGAGAUACUUGUCCAAAAACACUCACUUGAAA
rnacentral:lncRNA from 1 species